UGCCAGCAGCCGCGGUAAUACAGAGAGUGCGAGCGUUAAUCGGAAUUACUGGGCGUAAAGCGCGCGUAGGUGGGUAUUUAAGUCGGAUGUGAAAGCCCCAAGCUUAACUUGGGAACUGCAUUCGAUACUGGGUACCUAGAGUAUGGUAGAGGAAAGUGGAAUUUCCGGUGUAGCGGUGAAAUGCGUAGAUAUCGGAAAGAACAUCAGUGGCGAAGGCGGCUUUCUGGACCAAUACUGACGCUGAGGUGCGAAAGCGUGGGGAGCAAACAGGAUUAGAUA
rnacentral:rRNA from 1 species